UUGACGGGGCCCGCACAAGCGGUGGAGCAUGUGGUUUAAUUCGACGCAACGCGAAGAACUUACCAGGGCUUGACAUCCCCUGACCGCGUAUGAAAGUACGUUUUCACCCUCGGGUGACAGGGAGACAGGUGGUGCAUGGUUGUCGUCAGCUCGUGUCGUGAGAUGUUGGGUUAAGUCCCGCAACGAGCGCAACCCCUACGUUUAGUUGCUAACGCGUGAAGGCGAGCACUCUAGACGAACUGCCGUUGACAAAACGGAGGAAGGUGGGGAUGACGUCAAAUCAUCAUGCCCCUUAUGUUCUGGGCUACACACGUGCUACAAUGGCCGGUACAGACGGACGCAAAGCCGCGAGGUGGAGCAAAUCCUAAAAGGCCGGUCUCAGUUCGGAUUGCAGGCUGCAAUUCGCCUGCAUGAAGUCGGAAUCGCUAGUAAUCGCAGGUCAGCAUACUGCGGUGAAUACGUUCCCGGGCCUU
rnacentral:rRNA from 1 species